GUGAAAUUGUUGAAAGGGAAGCACUUGAAGUCAGCCAUGCUGCUUGAGACUCAGCCUGGCUUUUGCUUGGUGUAUUUCUCGGUGGCAAGCCAGCAUUGGUUUGUGUCGUCGGAGAAGCGCAUGGGGAAUGUGGCAUCCUCGGAUGUGUUAUAGCCCUGUGCAGGAUACGACGAUGUAGACCAAGGAACGCAGUGUGCCCUCUGGGCGGGUCUUCGGACACCUUCACACUUAGGAUGCUGGCGUAAUGGCUUUAAGUGGCCCGUCUUGAAACACGGACCAAGGAGUC
rnacentral:rRNA from 1 species